GGCUGGUGCAAGUGCAGUAGUGUUUACAACUAAUUGAUCACAACCAGUAACAGAUAUCUUUGUUCCUCUUCCAUUCCCAUUAUUUCACCUGAUUAGCCUUAA
ensembl:misc_RNA Y_RNA Y RNA